UGCUGCAAUGAACACGCUUACACAUGAUGUGUCUCAGUGAAAUUCCUAGAAGUGAAAUUGGAGGACAGAAGAUUAUGUGCAUCUUUUAAAAGGUUCCCAGGCUUCUACUGCGCUCCAUAAAUACACCAGCUUCUGCUCCCACCAGCCGUGCGGUGCCCAAUGACUCCCUUCGGUUCUAAACCUCACGACCCAGAGUGAGCACCAAUCCCCCAGAUGGAAGGCUCAGUCCCACAAGAUGGUCCCCACUUCAGACACCAGCUGCGAGUCCUGGGACACCCGUGUUUCUGACCAACAUAAGUCAGGGGUUUCCACCACCUCCUCCUCAGGUUCUAUGAUUUGCCAGAAUGACUACAGAACUGAGGAAAGUGCUUUAUGGACAAUCACUGGCUAAUGAUAAAGGGUACCCUAACCCUCCCAGCACCACCCCCUGUUCACCACCCAGGAAGCUCUCUGAAUGUUGCUCAAGAAUUUUUGAGGCAACUUACUGAAUGAGAGAAAAUAUUUGCAAAUCAUCUAUCGGAGAAAGGAAUUCAUUUCCAAAAGAUGUGAAGAACUCCUACGAUUCAACAGCAAAAAAAAAAAA